UAUGCAAUGUUUAAUGGAAGUCUUUUUAAUUGCAAAUCUUAAAGGAGUACUGACACAUUCUUUGAAGCUGCGGUAGCUCUCCUCGAAUGCACAAGGACAGCACUCGGCAAGUAUGAAAGUUGGGAAACACUUGUACGGUGUUCGGUCAUCUUGUAAUGCGCUGAGUGACUGAGUAAAACUAUAACCACGAUGUAACACCAGGCAAAAAUGACAGAGCGCAGACUGCCUACUGGUUUAUUGUCAAUGAGACAUUGCCCAUAUUGUGGGCUCCAGUCAAGAGAAUACACAAUGACAAAACAGCGGAUGCAGCGUAUGAUAAGCCAUUGCCAGGUGCAUGGCUUCAAUUCACAUGACAGUUCUUGCCGGCUCAUAUCUUGGGUUGCCUAGAGCAAGAGAAGUUGGGCUUCCACAUAUAUAUUCUUUUCCAACCCAAUGUUCGGAGCCUCCAAAAUUUCUCUACAUACUCUAGAUUUCUCUAGAACUCUGCUUUGUUAGCCUGCUUCUCACCAAUCUGGGUCAAUGCGAAGUGUGUUCAAAAAUUUUGUGCUGCUAUUUUAUUAUUGUCCCCUUCGCAGUCUGGGAUUUGCUCCGCAGCAUGUGAAAUAGAGUGCAAGUUAGCUGCGCGGGCUGAAGGCUUGUCUUUGUUUUUGAAAAGCGUUGUGUUGUGCCUGUGAGUGCAUUUGUUGUGCUGAUUCGUAUUCUGGGAUUCAUUCAACACAUGCUGCGCCGCGGCCUGUGACGCCAAGUGCCAGUUAGCUGUGCUCAGGCCGGGGCAAAAAGUGUUUUGUGGAAAAUUGUAAGUCGAGACUUGUUCUGAGCAUGUGUUGCUUAUCAAGGCUCCACAUGAACCUGAGCGUUUAAAAAAGUGGCUUCACCCUCCAUGUGAAGAAGAGGAUGCUUUUCAACGCGACACUGACACUUUGAGUGGCUUCCAAGAGCAGAUAGUUUUGCAGCCUACUGACCACGUGUGUACGAAGCGCUUCCCAUAUGGAGUGAUCUCUGUAGCACAUCAUGCAGAAUACAAGGAACACGUCCUUCUGCACUCUCAAAGGAAACCUGUGCUUUCACCUGACGCUGUGCCUAGCAUUUUCCCAAACUGCCCAAAAUACUUGAUCGUGCAGCAAAAAAACCGAGAAAACCUCCGCGAAAACAGAAGGCCCUGCUGCCAACUUUUCAGAAGCAAGGGCAGCCAAAAGCGUUUAAUGCUUUUGAACAGCUUUACUUGACUGUUGAAAAUACGCCAAAUUUAUUGCACUAGAGACAACAAGUUCAGAACAUGCUGAUGCUGAAUCAACAGGCGCGCUGCGUAAGCGGCCACGCUUUGAUUUCAGCAGUGUUGUGCACCCUCCAUGUGAAGAAGAGGAUGCUUUUCAACACGACACUGACACUUUGAGUGGCACAUGCACUGUCGACGCACUUAAUCAUCCAGCCAAAAAGAGCAAGAGAGCAGUCGUGGACCAACAGAAGAGCAGCAAUACACCAGUUGCUCUUUGUUGCCGAUCUGCUUCUACCAUUCCAGAGAACAGCUCUGUUGAGCAUCCCUGACCAACACAAAGAGCAGAGGUGGACUGUUGCACCCCAACUUGAAGUUCGUUCAGUUGUUGAGAACAGCUGAGCAGUACUUUGGGAAAAAUUCAGAUGGUCGGUCUGUAUACUGGGAAAAGGAGCAUGUGCUUCACAUGAGCCCAAAGAAGUCAUUGCACAUAUUCUGCCCUUAACAAUGAGAAUGUGGCGGCACUCUGUAAGGCCGUAAGCAUGAACAUUAAGGAACAAGCUGAAGAGAAAAGAAAGCUAGCAAAACUAUUUUCAUCCCGAAUUUUGUUGCAAAGUUUACAGAAUAUACUAAUAUGUGUUAUAUUUCUUGUGAAUGUAUGUUGCAAACAGUUUGUGCCUUGUAAGAUAUAGUUUUGUGGAAAAAUAAAGCGUGUGUUCACCCCUUG